AGAGUUACAGCUCAGUUGCAGAGCAUCUGCUUUGCAUGCAGAAGGUCCCAGGUUUGAUCCCUGGCACCUCUA